rnacentral:tRNA from 1 species
GGGCCCGUAGUCUAAUGGUAGAAUGUUUCCUUUGCAAGGAAGGGAUCCGAGUUCGAUUCUCGGCGGGUCCA